UGCAAACGUACACAUAUAGAGGAAAAACACAUGCAGAGUCUCAGUUCUAUAUGGAUAUAUACGUGUCUCACGGAUCUGCGGCCUGCGCGACACUUUGAUAGGACAUCCCGGAGAAUCAUCUGUUAUUUCAGUAAUUCCAACAAGAUGAGAACGCAGCAUAACUAAACAGUACAGAGUGAGAAAUAAGAGAUCUACAGCAGCUUUUUUCUGUUUGGACAAGCCAUAUGAUGUGACCCCUCAUGUGAUCUCAUGAGAAGAAAAUGACCAUUUAAGAGACAUAACAUCAGGUCACAACCUUUAGGGGUCAUGGGUACCUUGAGGUGAAACACUCCUACUUUCUCCAUUGGGAAGACUACACGAG